GGCCCGGUCGCGACCGGUCAGCGCUUCGGCAGCCGUCUCCACGAUGACCGGUUCGAUUCCGUUCCGGGCCA
rnacentral:tRNA from 1 species